CAUCCUGGGGCUGUAGCCGGUCCCAAGGGUAUGGCUGUUCGCCAUUUAAAGAGGUACGUGAGCUGGGUUUAAAACGUCGUGAGACAGUUUGGUCCCUAUCUGCCGUGGGCGUUGGAAUCUUGACGGGGGCUGCUCCUAGUACGAGAGGACCGGAGUGGACGUACCGCUGGUGUACCUGUUGUCUCGCCAGAGGCAUCGCAGGGUAGCUAUGUACGGAAGAGAUAACCGCUGAAAGCAUCUAAGCGGGAAACUCGCCUGAAGAUGAGGAUUCCCUGGAGCCUCGAGCUCCUUGAAGGGUCGUUCAAGACCAGGACGUUGAUAGGCUGGGUGUGGAAGCGCAGUAAUGCGUUAAGCUAACCAGUACUAAUUGCCCGUAAGGCUUGAUCCUAUAACC
rnacentral:rRNA from 1 species